rnacentral:lncRNA from 1 species
AGUGAACUGCGCAUGCUUGGGUCGUGGGGUUCUGGCCUUCCUCAGGACGAAGGAGCCACGCGGAGGACUUCGGACUGUAUUUAUUUAUUCGAGAGAGAGAAAGAGGGAGAGAGAGAAUCUGAAGCAGACACUGCAUCCAGCAUGGAGCCCGACAUGGGGGUCAAUCCCACUACCAUGAGAUCAUGACCUGAGCUGAAAAUCAAGAGUUGAAAUCUGAACUGACUGAGCCACCCAGGUACCCCACUCAUUUGGUUUCUAAAAGAGAAAUACUUAGAUUGCGGAAUCUAAAUCUUA